GCGGCGUGCCUAAUACAUGCAAGUUGAGCGCUGAAGGUUGGUACUUGUACCGACUGGAUGAGCAGCGAACGGGUGAGUAACGCGUGGGGAAUCUGCCUUUGAGCGGGGGACAACAUUUGGAAACGAAUGCUAAUACCGCAUAAAAACUUUAAACACAAGUUUUAAGUUUGAAAGAUGCAAUUGCAUCACUCAAAGAUGAUCCCGCGUUGUAUUAGCUAGUUGGUGAGGUAAAGGCUCACCAAGGCGAUGAUACAUAGCCGACCUGAGAGGGUGAUCGGCCACAUUGGGACUGAGACACGGCCCAAACUCCUACGGGAGGCAGCAGUAGGGAAUCUUCGGCAAUGGACGAAAGUCUGACCGAGCAACGCCGCGUGAGUGAAGAAGGUUUUCGGAUCGUAAAACUCUGUUGGUAGAGAAGAACGUUGGUGAGAGUGAAAGCUCAUCAAGGACGUAUAGCCAACGAAUCGACC
rnacentral:rRNA from 1 species